UCCCUUUGUCCUUACUUUUUAAAGGGCCAAACUCUCUGCACGUCAUUAGUUGAUCGGACGAAUAGGGAACUGUAGGCGUGUCUACCUUACAGACUAUCAUCUAGAUUUUGGUCAGUAGAUGGCGCAAUUACAUCACCAAAAUGUAUUGUCCUGGAAUGGGUUAACUGAAAAUGAUGAUGAUUUUGACGUCAAUAAUUUAUCUAUUUUAU